rnacentral:tRNA from 1 species
GCCGGUGUGGUGAAAUGGCAGACACAACGGACUUAAAAUCCGUUGGCGCGAAAGCGCCGUGCGGGUUCGAGUCCCGCCACCGGUA